ACGUUUUUGUAAACAUAUAAGUUAUAUAAAGGUGUGUUAUGUUAUGUGACCGACUUAAAGUGUGUGUUAUGUUAUGUGUCCGAGUUAAAGUGGAGUUAUUUUAGUUAAGAUAAUACCGGACAGGGUUUAGGACUCCGUCUUAAUUAUAAUUGGGACAUUUUUACAAACAAACCUUAUAAAAUACAAUACUGGCGUGCAUUUUGAGACAAAACAAUAGCACUCAUAUGUUAACAGAUGUCAGUAUUUUAGUCAGUGAUAAGUCCUGUCCGAGAAAACCGCCCAAUAGUGUUUAAUUCAAUUACGUGUGAUGUCUGAGGGAAAUUUGGCAAUUUUAGGAGCGGUGGUGAUGUGGAGAGGCAGACCAAGACCACCACCAUACGCGAAGAUGAGCCUCGAGGCGUGACAGUUAUUUUUUCAAACUGAGGAGUUCGGACUCCGGACCGGCAUUUCUGCUUGUUUGUACCCUGAGAUAACCAUGGUUAAUAAAUGGUCAGACACGUCACUGGCUUUAAAAUAUAAACCCCAUUGAUGCAAAAAGAUGCUGCAUGGAAUGACAAUGUGGUUUGGAACAGACUUGGUGAAGAACAUGGAAACAUCUCUUAAUAAAAUGGCCCCAAACAUCAUCAGGAGUGCAAAAGAAGGAAGUAAAAAACAUCUCUACGCCAAUCUCAUUGGAGAGGAAACCACAGAAGGUCUGGUGAGGAAUGCUGCACUUAUGUUAUUGCAAGCAUUAUUUAUUUCAAGAAAAUCCCAGCUUCCUUGACUGUGUAAAUAGUGAACCCAAAGGUCCCACACCAACCAUAGUGUUCAACGGCUCUCCUGAUCUUCUCAAAUCUGAAAGUCGGAGAAGCGGACCAGAGAAGCGGACCGCCCCUGUCUCGAGGAGGUCCCAAAGCACCCCAAUGACCAGACAAACCAGAGAUAAGUAAAAUAUAGAAAUAGAAACUUUAUUUAAAUUAUUUAAAACUAAAGUGGGGAAUGGGAAAGGGAAUCUAAAAAUCUCGCUUCUCGUCCUCAGGGGGAGUAUUACGGGGCCAGGGACGUUGGAGGGGUUUCCACGUGACUCCAGCUGGAACACCGCUACAGAGCGUAUCUGGGUGGGUUGGGCACACACCAUCGCGGCGGCCCCUGAUGGCAUCCACAAAGGUCCAAGACCCUCCUAAGCUCCUAGCCAUAGCAGAACUACGUAUUUCAGCACCCGAAGGAAUAACAACCCAGCCGGCAUCUGCAGCAUAUAUCCAACGCUAUCAAACUUCACUCUGACAAGUAACUUCCUAUACACAACCACGCCGUCCUUUUGCCCGGACCAGCCCCGCACUCUUUCCGCCCGCUACCUAGCGGUCGCCGGAUCAGCAGAGCCUGCGGACUCUUCGGAGGCUGGUCUUCGUUGUGCUGCCCAAGGCGGAAGUUGACUCGCCCGAAAAUCGACCCUUCCGGUAACUUCUACCUUCUCUCUUUAUAUCCUCCUCCAUGGCGUGGCUCGCCCAACCAUCGCUCGCCACGUCACUCACACAGCUGUGCCUUGUUUCAGCAAGUGCGGGGAUUCCCGGGGAAGCCAGAAGUGCCAGUGUCUGUACAAACCGGUCCGGGCGGAACCUCUUCACUCUCCUUUUGGUUCCGCCCGCAUAGUCACUCCAUGACAACUGUUUGCGUUUUUUUUCUCCUCAAUGUUCAAUACCCUUUUGCCAUUAAGCACACAGUGACUUUAAUUUAUAAAAUAUAUGCUUAAGUUUUAAUACCUGUACAAAACAAAUGUACAAUCAACUUGUGUAAAUUGUCAUUCUAUUUAAUAGAUUGUUCAUGAAUUGUCUUUAAAUGCAUUGUGAUUUCGGUAACACUUUACAAUAAAGUUCAUUAGUUAACAUUAGUUAAUGUAUUAACUAACUUGAACAAACCAUAAGCAAUACAUUUGUUACAGUAUUUAUUCAUCUUUGUUAAUGUUAGUUAAUAAAAAUUCAAGCUUUAAUUGCUUGUUCAUGUUAGUUCAGAGUGCAUUAACUAAUGUUAACAAGAUUUUAAUAAAGUAUUUGUUGAAAUUAACAUUAACAAAUAUUAAUAAUGGCUGUAUAAGUGCAGUUCAUUAUUAGUUCAUGUUAACUAAUGUAGCUAACUAAUGUUAACUAAUGAACCUUAUUGUAAAGUGUUACCGUGAUUUCUUUUCAUCAUUUCAGACACAUGUAAAAGUUACUAAAAAUUAGUACUGCAUAUACUGUACAGUAUCUAUGCGUAAGGGAAAUAACUUGAACAAAAUUUUUAAUGUAUAGUGUAAUUAAGAGUUUAGCUGUUUAAUA